UCUGUGUGUGUGUGUGUGUGUGUGUGUGUGUGUGUGUGUGUGUGUGUGUGUAGAGGGACACAGUGUCUCUUUUUUAUGCGCUCUUCUGCUGUAUAAUUGUCCCUGCCUCUUCCUGUGAUCCACACUGAUGUAGGGGAGGGCUCAACUUCUGACGUUAUACAAAUAGGAAUUCCCUUCACUGGUCUCUCUCACUCCGCUCUCAUUCACUUUCAGCCUGUCUGGCCCCCAGACGAACUCUUUCUCUCCCUCUCUCUCUCUCUCUCUCUCUCUCUCUCUCUCUCUCGCUCCUAUAUAAACACUCAUAGCGUCUAUACAGGAGCCGGACACUCCCUCUGAGACACAACUGCUAUAGGGUUCCUCUCACGCUCUGAACGGAGGCGAUCCGGAGACAGAAAGCAGUCAGAUCACGCAGGAAGCCCAGUCACUCAGACGCUAGCAGAAGGAGGGGCCAGCGGCAGUGACCACGGAAUACAUGACAAAACAUGAGGUGGCCUUGGAAGACACACACACACACACACACUUUGCAUGUUAAACAGACAAGUGCUAUAGGAUUCUUUCUUCAGUGGAACCCAAAAUAAUAUGUUCAUGCUGCCUGUUAUGCUCCAAAAAGCACCAUUAAAGUCAACAUAGGCCCAUUGUGAACACAUUCUUAUAGCAACAUUUUUGCAAAACACCAAAAUACAUGCUUUUCAACUGCAGUUUAAUGCUGAAAUUGAUUACAGGUUGAAUAUUGAUUAAUAAGGACUUACUUUCACACAUUUCUUUCCACAAUGCUGUGGUAUGACCUCAGUCCACUUAUACCAUAGUGCAGGAUUUGUACAUUUUGACGUUUGCAUCACAUAACCAGCUCCAUAAAGUAUGGCUAAAGUAAGUUUGCUUGGGAGCUCAUCUGAUACAGCGAUGUGUGCUGCGCUCGGUCCGGUGAUACACAUGUAGUUAACUCGGUAAGCAGUUGAAAAACUUGUAGAAGCAAGCAAAAACUGCAUGGUUGCUUGAGCAGCUGCAUUUUUAACUCACGUUUUGUUAACAUUUGAGGGUAUGUUCAGAGCACGAUUUAGUUCAUUAAGAAACGCAACCUUUUAGAGCCACUCUCCGAGCAUUUUAUUUCCAAACUGUUGCGUGUAUCGCAAUAAAACAUUGCCAUAUUCACAUUCACCUGUUUCUGAUAAUCUUAAAAAGCUUUUAGUGCCAUUCACUGGAUAUUUCACUUUGAACGUGCCACAAAAUGUGUAAAAAGUAGCAUAAUUUUGCAGAAAUGUUGUCUCUUUGGUUUAGCUUGCAUCCAGCUGAUGUGUUUUUAUAGCUAGCUAACAUUCCGGAGUUUAGUGUUCAGCAUCCUGUAUGUGCGCACUGUAUGGAAAACAGCAGUGUUGACAUUCUCCUAAACAUCUCCUUUUAUGUUUCACAGAAAAAAAAGAAUGUUUUCAUUUUUGUCUGAAAUCCCCCCACCCCCCUUUUUGUCCUGUCUGUUUGCAAUCUGUCUGCUGUUCUCACAGAGCCCUUCUGUACGAUAUGUUAGGACAGAUAUAAAAAUGUAAGACCCCACCUCAGACAGAAUGACAUAAGCCCAGACCCUCCUCUUCUGCCGGCCAGGGGAAUUCCUGGCAGAGUGAUUUUUAGCCUAAUGACUGAAUCACAUUGCCAGGGAUUUCCAAUGGCUUGUGUGAGAGACUGCACACACGCCAGAUAUAUGCACUGCAAACACACACACCUGAACACAUGAGACCCUAAACCUGAAGGAAUGCAGACGGUCUCACACAUUCAUCAGUGGUGACAGAAGUCCCAAUUUCUUUGCUGGUUGUGUGGUGUCAGGACUUAACCCACUUGUGAACACUGCAUUGAACUUCUUUGUUCACAGUGGUUAAGUUCUGCCAUCCUUAGACCAAAAUCAGCAAAAGGGACGUUAAAGCCAAUUGUGACAUCAAACUGAAUGAGUAUUGUGACAUGAUAUUCUCAUUGCAUAUAUAAUGUACCUGAAGAACUGCAUUAAAGAUGCACUCUUCUUAUUGUCGUCCGCCUCGCGCUGUUGUGACAGGCCUGUUUUUAUCUUGUCAGAAGUAAUCUUCAUCUCAGGUGUUUGACACGAUAUGCAACAAAUGAGUCGUAGCCUGGAAAUAAAAAUACUUGGAUAAACAUCUUUUGUUGGUACUGGAACAAAUUCUUAUCAAACGUGGUGGAUUUUUUUCAGGAGGCAAACCACCUACCGCCACUAACUUCCUCUAACCCAGCUAACAAAAAUAUGACCCAGGAGUGUCUUGCUGACGUUCCCUUUAAUGAAAACAUGCUUUCUGAAUGUUCUGAGGAUAUGAAAAAAAAAGAAUAAUUUAUAAUAACAUUCCGUUUUGGAAUUUUGCAAACCUUAUGGGAAUGUUGAGUUUGAAUGUUCUCUGAACAUUCUGAAACAAAAAAUAGAUGUAGAUGUCAAAAAAUAGAUGUUUAUUACAUAAAAGAUGUAUAAACAUGUUUUGAAAACAUUGUUAAUGACCAGGAAACUCUAAACAAACAUUAUAUUUACAUUUUACUAGUUACUGGAAGAACAUUUGUUCAUAAUUUUAAGAGAAUGUUAGCCAAAGUUUUGUAAAAGUUUUGUAAAAGUAGAACUCCAAUGUUCACAUUAUAUCCCAUAUUUGGAAAAGCCUUACUUUUAGUAAUCCACAGUUUUCCAGAGUGCUUUUUUUGUUCAUGUUUAAUUGAAAUGAAAAAAAAAAUGCAUUUGGACCUGUGUACCAUUUAUUUAUUCAUUAAAGAUUGUUUAAAAAAAAUUAUUUGCUUUAUUUAUUUUUUUAUAAAUUGCUGAAUUUGAUGUUGGUGUUUUUUCUCAAUUAUAAUUCUGUAAUUUAUUUGGGUCUUUUUUAAAUCAGUCGAUAAUCUUGUAGACCAGGGGUUCUCAGCUCUGGCCCUGGAGGUCCACUUUCCUCCAGAAUUGAGCUGUAAACACACCUGAACAAGCUAAUCGAGGUCUUCAGGAUCACUAGAAAGUGACUGGCAGGUGAGUUUGAUCAAGGCUUGAGGUAAGAGUUGAGAAGCCCUGUUGUAGACAUCUGUAUUCUUCAUUGAUGUCAAAGUUCACCAACAGGGAUGUUUAGGACAGUUGCGAAGUGACCACUCCGGCGGUCCAGCUUCAACAAAACCUCUUCACACAAAGGCGGAAUUUAUGGCAGGACAGCCAUUCAGAAACUGUUUGUAUCCAAGACCCAAACGAUGCAUUAAACACAAAACAACCGGGGGGCUGAAUGGUCCAGUGAGUCAUCUUUUACCAUAUUUCCUGCAAACCAGGCGGGUGUAUCUUUACGGGAAAGCCAAAAGAUGCCUAAAGCACGGGUUCACCCAUAUACAACUAAAAUUCAAGCGUGAUUUUAACAAUGCCUUCACUGCCUGUAUGAAGACAAAACCAAACAUCACCGAACCAUCACAGAAAGUUCUGCAGGACAUAGAUUCACAUCGCUUUUUACUCAUGAGGAAUAAUGGCCUGAAACUACUAUUUAAACAAAGAGUGGCCUUGAUAUCAUUAGAUGGAUGGAUGGAUUUAUAAAUAUAGAUAAAUAGAUUUAUGUAUUUUAUAGAUUAAUAGUUUUAAUAUUGGUGCUAAAAUGGUUUUGUUGUUUGUUUUCUGCUUAUAAUAAUUCAUGCAAAAAAAACAAAUUGUCUUUAUGCAAUAUAUUUGUGUGUGUGUUUGUCAUAAAUAGCUGAGUUUACAGUGACUGUUUGACUGGUUUGAUCGACGUCUGUGUGUCUGUCUAUGUCAGUGGGCUGGUCUCCUGUGCCUGCUGUGCUGAUAAUCAGUGGAUGGCUGUAGCUGGCUCAGUUCAGCAGGAACAGGAGUCUGGUCUUCUCUCUCUGUGGCCUUCUGCUCCAAACACACUGACACACAGAGAGAGGACUGAUCACGCUGCUGCUCCACACUGGAAGUCACAGGUAGCAAAAUGUAAGUGACAAAAAUGAUAUAAUCUUCACAUUUUCCCCAGAUGUAAUAGUAGUUAAAUAAUGUUAAACAACAUAAAUUAAUUCAGUUGUUUGAUAAUAUGUAUUGGCAAUUUUAAUGCUUCAAAUAAAAUAAUUUUCAAACAUCA